rnacentral:rRNA from 1 species
CCUACGGGGGGCAGCAGUGAGGAAUAUUGGUCAAUGGACGAGAGUCUGAACCAGCCAAGUAGCGUGAAGGAUGACUGCCCUAUGGGUUGUAAACUUCUUUUAUAAAGGAAUAAAACGAGGCACGUGUGCCUUUUUGCAUGUACUUUAUGAAUAAGGAUCGGCUAACUCCGUGCCAGCAGCCGCGGUAAUACGGAGGAUCCGAGCGUUAUCCGGAUUUAUUGGGUUUAAAGGGAGCGUAGAUGGGUUGUUAAGUCAGUUGUGAAAGUUUGCGGCUCAACCGUAAAAUUGCAAUUGAUACUGGCAGUCGUGAGUACAGUUGAGGUAAGCGGAAUUCGUGGUGUAGCGGUGAAAUGCUUAGAUAUCACGAAGAACCCCGAUUGCGAAGGUAGCUUACUAAACUGUGACUGACAUUGAUGCUCGAAAGUGUGGGUAUCAAACAGGAUUAGAUACCCCUGUAGUC